UACGAAGGGAGCUAGCGUUGUUCGGAAUCACUGGGCGUAAAGCGCACGUAGGCGGAUGUGUCAGUCAGGGGUGAAAUCCCGGAGCUCAACUUCGGAACUGCCCUUGAUACAGCACAUCUGGAGUCCGGAAGAGGUGGGUGGAAUUCCUAGUGUAGAGGUGAAAUUCGUAGAUAUUAGGAAGAACCCCGGUGGCGAAGGCGGCCCACUGGCUCGACACUGACGCUGAGGUGCGAAAGCGUGGGGAGAAAACAGG
rnacentral:rRNA from 1 species